GACGAACGCUGGCGGCGUGCCUAAUACAUGCAAGUCGAGCGGAAGUUGAAGAGCUUGCUCUUCAACUUUAGCGGCGGACGGGUGAGUAACACGUGGGCAACCUGCCCUGCAGAUCGGGAUAACUCCGGGAAACCGGUGCUAAUACCGAAUAGUUUUCGCCACCUCCUGGUGGCGUACGGAAAGACGGUUUCGGCUGUCACUGCAGGAUGGGCCCGCGGCGCAUUAGCUAGUUGGGGGGGUAACGGCCCACCAAGGCAACGAUGCGUAGCCGACCUGAGAGGGUGAUCUGCCACACUGGGACUGAGACACGGCCCAGACUCCUACGGGAGGCAGCAGUAGGGAAUCUUCCGCAAUGGACGAAAGUCUGACGGAGCAACGCCGCGUGAGUGACGAAGGUUUUCGGAUCGUAAAACUCUGUUGUGAGGGAAGAACAUGUACCACUUAACUACUGGUACCUUGACGGUACCUCACCAGAAAGCCACGGCUAACUACGUGCCAGCAGCCGCCGUAAGAC
rnacentral:rRNA from 1 species